rnacentral:rRNA from 1 species
AUUGAACGCUGGCGGCGUGCUUAACACAUGCAAGUCGUGCGGUAACAGGCGUAGCAAUACGUGCUGACGAGCGGCGAACGGGUGCGUAAUACAUGGGAAUCUGCCUUUUAGUGGGGAAUAACCCGGCGAAAGCCGGGCUAAUGCCGCAUAAGAUCUUCGGAUGAAAGCGGGGGAUCGUAAGACCUCGCGCUGAUAGAUGAGCCCAUGCCGGAUUAGCUAGUGGUGAGGUAACGGCUCACCAAGGCGACGAUCCGUAGCUGGUCUGAGAGGACGGCCAGCCACACUGGGACUGAGACACGGCCCAGACUCCUACGGGAGGCAGCAGUGGGAAUAUUGGACAAUGGGGGAAACCCUGAUCCAGCGACGCCGCGUGUGUGAAGAAGGCCUGCGGGUUGUAAAGCACUUUCGGUGGG